AACGCGAAGAACCUUACCCAGGCUUGACAUCCUUGGAAUUUCUCCGAAAGGAGAGAGUGCUUUAUUGAGCCAAGUGACAGGUGAUGCAUGGCCGUCGUCAGCUCGUGUCGUGAGAUGUUUGGUUAAGUCCAUCAACGAGCGCAACCCUUAUGUUUAGUUGAAUUUCUCUAAACAGACUGCCCUGGUAACAGGGAGGAAGGAGGGGAUGAUGUCAGGUCAGUAUUUCCCUUACGUCUGGGGCUACAAACACGCUACAAUGGCCGGUACAAAGGGCAGCCAAGUCGCAAGACGGAGCAAAUCCCAUCAAAGCCGGUCCCAGUUCGGAUUGCAGGCUGAAACUCGCCUGCAUGAAGUCGGAAUCGCUAGUAAUGGUAGGUCAGCUAUACUACCGUGAAUACGUUCCCGGGCCUUGUA
rnacentral:rRNA from 1 species